UGCUUUCUGUUUUUUUGCCAUGUCGUUUUCAGUUAAUCGUUGAUUUUGUGAGUUUGAAUACCGCUUUGGUAUCGUCUGUCGAUCUUUAACCACAUUAAUGCAUCCUUCAUUUCAUUUCAAAAAUUAUUGUUACAACGGAAAGUUGCUUUGGUAUUAUUGUAGGGCGUGUUGAAAUAUGAAUAUAGAGGCGCUUAAAAAUAUUUUACCAAUGCUUGUUACAUUUAUUCAUGAAAUACUCUUUAAAAUACAAACAUUUUCAGUAUUUGUAUUGGUAGAUAAAACAUGUCUAUCUUGAAUCCUUUUGAAACCAAAUAUGAAGUCAACUUAAGAAUUACACACAGAAACAACUUAUGUUUAAAAUUUAUAAGUUGUAGAUAACAAAUGUGAAUUAAAUAACAAUUUAAAUAAAAGAAGAUGUUGUAUGUGUGCCAAUGAAACAAGUCUUCAUCUUAGUCACAAUGUAUAAACAGAUAUAUAUUAAAGGUAAAAUUACGGUCUUCAACACGGGGUCUUUGUUCACAACUGACAACAAGCUAUACAGCCCCUAAAAAAGGACAGAGUGAAAAAAACAUUUCAAAAAGAAAAUCCAACGAUCUAAUCUAUAUUAAAAAAAACGAAAUAAACCCCUAUGGACCACACCAACAACUACUGAACAGCAGGCACCUGAUUUAGGACAAGUCCAUUUGAAUGCAGAAAUCUUAAAUGUUUAAACAGGCGACCAUCUUCACUCUAACGUGAGAGAAUAUUGUAAAUUAAAACAUAAAAAUACACACUACAAUUUAUCAAUUGAAACUCUCAACUGAAUCUGGGAGACAUCCAGUUAAAAAAACAGGAAAAUAAACUAUAUACGAAUAAGUUUAAUAUAUAACACACAAAUCAUACACUAUUAAAACGUAAGUGUCUGAAUGAUAUAGACAUUACAGGUAGCAAAACAAAAGAGAUUUGAAAAUGUUCAAUAAGACAACUCUUACCAAGGACAUUAUUGCUGAAAUUAAAACAACGUACACAACGAAUUAAAAUACUACAAGAACAUACCUACGACAUAAACGGUCCGUUACUGAAUUCAAAUGCAUUGUAUCUUUGCCUUUUUUUAGGCUGAAAUAUUAGUAUUCGUAUUGCCAUCUGAUAAAGUAAUGCUGAUAGAAAUUUUCUCUGCUUUCAAAAUCUUUCUCCUUCAACC
rnacentral:lncRNA from 1 species